AUUUAAAUAGCUUAUAAAGAGUAUAAUAUUGAAGAUAUUAGGGAGAUUAAUUAAUCUUUAAAUA
rnacentral:tRNA from 1 species